UUUGAACGCCCCGACGCUCGACGCGUGCGGAAGUUGCUUCAAGGAGGAACAAGAGGAAUAUAGGGGAAUAGGCGAGUCAGCUGGACAAUCAAUAAAAAGCGAACGUUAAUGGUUACGAUGCACGCAAGGAAGGAAGUGCCAUUCCGCACUUUCGCGCCAAGAACAUCGGUAUAAUCGUGAAGAAGAUUUCUGUACAGUAUCAAUGCUGGCACAUCACAAACCCCAUUUGUAAACGCUAAAAAGAAGACAAUCACAAAGGCAGAGUAAAGAGGGAGGAAUGUAGGCAAGAAUGUGAAAUAAUUUAUUAAACCACUUACCCAAGUAUAGAUUAUAGAGAAAGCAUACAUUUAUUUAUAUACAUAAUAUAUAAGUAUCAUUGUGACUUCAUGUUGAACAGCGAGAUUAAUAAAUAAGAGUUAACCCCUUG